UGCUGAUGGAGAAAUACCAUAAGGAAUGGCUGAGAUGGCUUGAUUUCCUCCAACGGCUACAAUGUUAGCCAGACCCAACAUAAAAGGAGAGACGGGUUGCGAGAGAGACACAAGAGGGAAAAGAGAGUGAGAGCAGAGAGUACAAUCGAAGGGAAUGCAGACAAGGGAAUUAAAGGAAGAUUUAAGAGGAGAGCCCUCAUCGGAAGCCAACAAAGAGAGACAAAUAUGAGAGAACAGCUGCUGCAACGAACACAAAUAGAAUCUAGAGCAGUUCCAUCGAAGCGAGUUCAUUACCUACACAAGGUGUAAAAAAGACCGACGAUUUUACCUCUGCACUAUUAGGGAUUACAAGCUCGACCAUGAUACUUUGGCUAAUAAAAGGUGGAGGUGUCCCGACUGGCCUUAUGAGAAAUAAAUUUUUAUCAUUAUUUUGGUUGUAUAUGUAUAUAUUUCUGUGCAAAUCCACUACAUGUUAUGCUGAGUAAUGUGUAUAUAUGUGUUUCUAAAAGAUAAACUGUGAUGCUCAUGAAGGAAUGGCAAGUCGAAAGACUUGCAGAGUGUGUACAAAAGAUCCAAAAUGCAUAAUACACCUCUUAUAUCUGCUUUGGUCGCUACAA